AGUGAUUUCCACUUUUGCUUCUUCCUCAUUCUCUCUUGCUGUCACCAUUUAAGAAGUGCCUUUCAUCCUCCGCCAUAAUUAUGAGACCUCCCCAGCCAUGUGGAACUGCAAGUCAAAUUAAACCUCCUUUUUUCCCCAGUCUCAGCUUCUGAUAGUUGCUUUUGGGGAUCGAUGAAUCGCUUGAGAAUCUCUGAUUGGGCAAAAGGCCUAAGUGUCUAUAAGAAGCUGAGGAGCUGGAGUGGGAGCAGAAACGUCUGGCAGGGUGAAUGGAGGUGAGGAAGAGGCAGAGGACUGAAGGAGGAUAUAGCAAAGGAUGCCAAAAGCCAAAUGGAAGAUCAAAGGUGGUAAAAAGAAAAGGUGGAAAAGCAGAGCUGGAAGAAGUGGGAUUAAUCCAUAUGGUAAAGAAGAAAAUAUAGAUAUUUGGACCGAAGAGGUUAAAAAAGUCAAUGGAUGACACCAUUCUCUGAAGAAAAUUAAAGAGGAAUCCAAACUCAUUGUAUGAGGCCAGCAUUACGCUGAUACCUGAUCCACAGAAGGACACUAGAAGAAAAGAAAAUCACAGGCUAAUUUCCUUGAUGAACAUAGAUGCAAGGAUCCUCAACAAAAUACCAGCAAACCAAAUUCAACAGCACAUUAACAGUGUCACACAUGAGCAACUGGAAUUUAUCCCUGGGACGGAAGGAUGGUUCAACACUGGCCUAUUGUUUUUAAGGCUUUCUGGCUCUGGAAACUGUAAACUCUUGCCUCCAAAAUGACCUCAGGAGUCUCCCAGGAAUUACAGGAGACUAUUCCAAGGUGCAAUAAUUUAUCUCUCAAAGAGAUAAAAGUUUAAUUUUAAUUUUUCUUUCUUCUGCUUUACUGAAUUAAUUUAUGAAAAUUCUAUCUGGACUUUAUAGCCUCUUUUACAGACUGCUUACAAUAUGCAGUGUACUUUAGAUGUGCUUAUUCAGUAGUUAAACUCCUUUUACUGUGUCUUAUGGAGAGGGCUCCCUCUAUCAUUUUUUGUUUUCUCAACACUAUAUAGUCAAUAUCUAUUAAGAGAAGUUCUGAAAGAAAAACACUGAAAGAGGAGGAAAAUAAUAAAAGGAACAAUUAGAGCAAUACAACAUAAAUGCCUAUAGCCAAACAACUGAAGGAGUUUUCAUAUUUAAGGGGCCCCAUGAGUAUCUCAUUAAAUGAGUGAAAAACCACUUAUACCUAAUUUAAUUGUUGUGAAAUCUCAGAACACUAAGAUUUAAUAUUAAAAUCUAAAUAUUGCCAGAGAGAAAACACACUACAGAGGAACUAGAAUCAGAAAAUUAUCGCAAUGUAGAAAAUACUAGUUGAGAAUAAUAUAAAUAGAUCCAAUGGAAGAAUAAAUAUGUAAUAAAUGCAUAUAAAGUGGCAUCCUGAAUUGACUUAUCAACUCUGUUUCUUAAAAACUAGCAAAUUUGUUUUUUUCAAGUUUGAGAAAUUUCUUGACGUUGAUAUGGUCUCAAUUUUUCAUCUUAUUUUGUUCUAUGUCUGCUUAAAUAUUUCAACUAUUUCCAUCUUUCACAUCACUUAUUCAAUCCACACAGCUCUAGGACAAAUUUUUACUUUCUCAAAUCAUAAUAUUCAUUAUUGCUUAAAAAAAGACUCUAUAAUUGGGCAAAGAUAAAGUUUUUAAAAAAAACCUCCAUUAAUUGAUUGCUAAAAAGGCUUUACUUUCUUUCUCUAUAAAAAUAUCCAUCUAGAGUGUUUUAUUUCCUACCAGACAGUGAUUUCCAUUUCUAUUUGUGCUGUGCUGUAGUAGUUUUUUCUGUGGGUCUCCUGAUAAUCUGUCAUCAUAUUCCACCUGGUGAAAUAAUAAGCAAUAUUUUUCCAGAUUGUCUUUCAGUGGGAAAAAUAAACUUGAGAUAGUUCAGAGCUGAAAAUAGAUUCCUAAUUAUAUAGAAAUAUGGGCACCACCAUAUCUGCUAGAAAUUAUCACAUUUUUCUUUCAGUUGGAAAAGUUCUGGACAAUUUUUAACCACUUCAGAGGCAUUUUUAUGUCACUUGCCCAUGUAAUUUUAGUGGACACAUGUGUCUAGGUCAAUGUCCCUUUCUUUAGGGAAUCAGCCUUCCUGAAUUCCUUAUCGUCAAAGUGGAUGUGUCAAUGGUCAUCUCUAACCUUCUCAAAAGGGACACAUCUCCAUGAUCAUAUGAUUAAUUCAGGAAAAAAUUUUGAUUAAAGCCAAGUCGGUUACAUAAUUUUCUCCUAAGGUUAGAGGAGUAGAUGCUCUUCUUCUCAUAGGUUACAACGUAGGGAGGAUUCUAAUCUUGACCAUUAAUAUCAAUUUCCUUACUACAACUAAAAAGUGUGAUAAAAGAGUUGAAUCUACAUACAGAGGAAGGGCAUAAUAUAAAGGAAGAAGGUAACAGAAACUUGACUACAUUGUUUGAACUCUCAGUAUCCAGUUACAUCUGAAGCUAUUAUAUCUAUAGAUUUUUAAAAUUAAUUCAGAUAAUCAUUCUCCAUCCAGCUUUGUUCCGUUGCUGAUGAGGAAGUGCGUUCCUUUGGAGGAGGAGAGGCG
rnacentral:lncRNA from 1 species